AUACGGAGGAUCCAAGCGUUAUCCGGAUUUAUUGGGUUUAAAGGGAGCGUAGGCGGAUUAUUAAGUCAGUUGUGAAAGUUUGCGGCUCAACCGUAAAAUUGCAGUUGAUACUGGUAGUCUUGAGUGCAGCAGAGGUAGGCGGAAUUCGUGGGGUAGCGGGGAAAUGCUUAGAUAUCACGAAGAACUCCGAUUGCGAAGGCAGCUUACUGGACUGUAACUGACGCUGAUGCUCGAAAGUGUGGGUAUCAAACAGGAUUAGAUACCCUGGUAGUCCACACAGUAAACGAUGAAUACUCGCUGUUUGCGAUAUACAGCAAGCGGCCAAGCGAAAGCAUUAAGUAUUCCACCUGGGGAGUACGCCGGCAACGGUGAAACUCAAAUGAAUGGACGGGG
rnacentral:rRNA from 1 species